UGGGGAAUAUUGCACAAUGGGCGCAAGCCUGAUGCAGCCAUGCCGCGUGUGUGAAGAAGGCCUUCGGGUUGUAAAGCACUUUCAGCGGGGAGGAAGGCGUUAAGGUUAAUAACCUUGGCGAUUGACGUUACCCGCAGAAGAAGCACCGGCUAACUCCGUGCCAGCAGCCGCGGUAAUACGGAGGGUGCAAGCGUUAAUCGGAAUUACUGGGCGUAAAGCGCACGCAGGCGGUCUGUCCAGUCGGAUGUGAAAUCCCCGGGCUCAACCGGGGAACUGCAUUCGAAACUGGCAGGCUAGAGGCUUGUAGAGGGGGGUAGAAUUCCAGGUGUAGCGGUGAAAUGCGUAGAGAUCUGGAGGAAUACCGGUGGCGAAGGCGGCCCCCUGGACAAAGACUGACGCUCAGGUGCGAAAGCGUGGGGAGCAAACAGG
rnacentral:rRNA from 1 species